GGGGAGCAGGGAUGGGUGACUGCGGGGCCUCUGACACCCCAGGUGGACUGCAUGGGAGCCACUGAAGCUGACUCAGUGUCCCCUCCCAGCUGCUGCCCCUCAGGAUAGUGAGAUCAUGCAAUAGACACGGUGUCCGGGGUUCUCUACAGAGAGACUCGCUGUGAGCGCCAGGCCUGACCAGGCACAUUAGACUCUGUCGACUCUGACCGCUUUGCCAGCUUUAGUUCACACUAACUGGAAGAAAGGCCUCAGAGUGGCCCGGGGGAAGGUGAGCUCACUUCUGACGAGUCGGUGCUGCAGAGGUUCUCAGUGCUCUCACCGCUGCCUGGCUCCCAGACUGGUCCGGCUUGGCCCUCCACGGCCUACAUACGGAUGCCCAGGAGUCCUCCCACGUUCCUUCCACAGAGACACUUAAGACUCCUUUGCUUUGGGGGAGUAGGAUGCCACCCACGGGAGAGUACCCAUGUCAGCCCCGGGGACACAUCCUGUGGCAAAGGGAGGUGGCGCUCCUGUUCUUCGCCUCAUUUCCUCCGUCUCCCUAUCUCUGUCCUGACCUUUGCCCCACUCCUACAUUCACUGUGUGUGACCAGGGACAAAACAACUAACAAGCUUUUGUUUGUGUGUGUUUUCUUCAGCUUCCUCAUUAGAGUAGAAGCUCCUUAUGGGUUAGAACUGCCCCCGCCAAGGCCCAUAUGCCAAAGGUUUGGUCACCAGCCCUUGGCACUGUUGGGAGGUGGUGGAACCUCAGGAGGAGAGGCCAAGUGGGAGGAAGUUAGGUCACUGGGGUCACACCCUUGAAGGGAUAUCUGGUCCCUUGCACCUUCGAGUCUCUCUCUGCUCUCCAGCAGCCAUGAGAUGGAUGGCUCUCCUCUGCCAGGUGCUUGUGCCUGCUGCAAGCCCAAUGUAGCAGGGCCAAGCCACCGAGGACUGACACCUCUCAAACCAUGA
rnacentral:lncRNA from 1 species